rnacentral:rRNA from 1 species
CGGGGGAACUAAGCAUAUCAAUAAGCGGAGGAAAAGAAACUAACAAGGAUUCCCCUAGUAACUGCGAGUGAAGCGGGAAAAGCUCAAAUUUAAAAUCUGGUGGCCUUUGGUCAUCCGAGUUGUAAUUUAGAGAAGCGUCUUCCGCGCUGGACCGUGCACAAGUCUCCUGGAAUGGAGCGUCGUAGAGGGUGAGAAUCCCGUCUUUGGCACGGACGCCCAGUGCUUCUGUGAUGCGCUCUCGAAGAGUCGAGUUGUUUGGGAAUGCAGCUCAAAAUGGGUGGUGAACUCCAUCUAAAGCUAAAUAUUGGCGAGAGACCGAUAGCGAACAAGUACCGUGAGGGAAAGAUGAAAAGCACUUUGGAAAGAGAGUGAAACAGUACGUGAAAUUGUUGAAAGGGAAACGCUUGAAGUCAGUCGCGUCGUCCGAGACUCAGCCUCGCCUCGGCUUGGUGUACUUCUCGGCCGACGGGUCAGCAUCAAUUUUGCCCCUUGGAUAAUGGCGAGGGAAAUGUGACACCUUUACGGGUGUGUUAUAGUCUCUUGUCGCAUGCAAGGGUCGGGAUUGAGGAACUCAGCACGCGCCUUYGGGCGUCGGGGUUUUGCCCACGAUACGUGCUUAGGAUGUUGGCGUAAUGGCUUUAAACGACCCGUCUUGAAACACGGACCAAGGAGUCUAACAUGCCCGCGAGUGUUCGGGUGGAAAACCCGUGCGCGCAAUGAAAGUGAAAGUUGGGACCUCUGUCGUGGAGGGCACCAACGCCCGGACCAGACCUUCUGUGACGGAUCUGCGGUAGAGCGUGUAUGUUAGGACCCGAAAGAUGGUGAACUAUGCCUGAAUAGGGUGAAGCCAGAGGAAACUCUGGUGGAGGCUCGUAGCGAUUCUGACGUGCAAAUCGAUCGUCAAAUUUGGGUAUAGGGGCGAAAGACUAAUCGAACCAUCUAGUAGCUGUU